GACGAACGCUGGCGGCGUGCCUAAUACAUGCCAGUCGAACGAGAGCGACCGGUGCUUGCACUGGUCAAUCUAGUGGCGAACGGGUGAGUAACACGUGGGUAACCUGCCCAUCAGAGGGGGAUAACAUCCGGAAACGGAUGCUAAAACCGCAUAGGUCUUCGAACCGCAUGGUUUGAAGAGGAAAAGAGGCGCAAGCUUCUGCUGAUGGAUGGACCCGCGGUGCAUUAGCUAGUUGGUGAGGUAACGACUCACCAAGGCCGUGAUGCAUAGCCGACCUGAGAGGGUGAUCGGCCACAUUGGGACUGAGACACGGCCCAAACUCCUACGGGAGGCAGCAGUAGGGAAUCUUCCGCAAUGGACGCAAGUCUGACGGAGCAACGCCGCGUGAGUGAAGAAGGUUUUCGGAUCGUAAAACUCUGUUGUUAGAGAAGAACAAGUGCUAGAGUAACUGUUAGCGCCUUGACGGUAUCUAACCAGAAAGCCACGGCUAACUACGUG
rnacentral:rRNA from 1 species